rnacentral:rRNA from 1 species
UACGGAGGGGGCUAGCGUUGUUCGGAAUUACUGGGCGUAAAGGGCGCGUAGGCGGCCUGUUAAGUCGAACGUGAAAUCCCCGGGCUCAACCCGGGAACUGCGUCCGAUACUGGCAGGCUUGAAUUCGGGAGAGGGAUGCGGAAUUCCAGGUGUAGCGGUGAAAUGCGUAGAUAUCUGGAGGAACACCGGUGGCGAAGGCGGCAUCCUGGACCGAGAUUGACGCUGAGGCG